rnacentral:rRNA from 1 species
AUGGAUCGCCGGGCGGCGACAUCCUCCAGCUCCUUCUUCAAUUCCUCACAACUUUGCUUGAAAGCAGCAGAUUCCUACACCUCCUGCUCACGCUCGAUCCGGAGCUUCCUCAAGUCACCCAUCAGUUCCUCGACGACCGCUGUCAGCAUCAUCCCCAAGGCACUGCUCUGCUCAUGCAGCAUCUUCCAGCCGGUGGCCUCCUCCUCCUUCUUGGCGAGUGCCUUAGAGCUUCGCAUUGUCACCCAUGAGUUGCUCGACGAGGCUGGUCGCCUUGUCUACCGAGGCAUCGCUCAUCUCGAGCAGCUUCAUCAAGCCGUCGACCAGCUCCUGCUGCUUAAUGAGGCCAGUGAAAAUGUCGUCGUCGCCGGCCAAGGACUUCAGCUACGCCAGCUCGUCGCGAUCGCCGACGCGGCGAGUGCGCUUGUGAGAGCCCUCGCGUGCCCGUGA